rnacentral:rRNA from 1 species
GAAACGACUGCUAAGACUGGAUAGGAGAUAAGAAGGCAUCUUCUUAUUUUUAAAAGACCUAGCAAUAGGUAUGCUUAAGGAGGGGCUUGCGUCACAUUAGUUAGUUGGUAGGGUAAAAGCCUACCAAGACGAUGAUGUGUAGCCGGGCUGAGAGGCUGAACGGCCACAUUGGAACUGAGACACGGUCCAAACUCCUACGGGAGGCAGCAGUAGGGAAUUUUCGGCAAUGGAGGAAACUCUGACCGAGCAACGCCGCGUGAACGAUGAAGUAUUUCGGUACGUAAAGUUCUUUUAUUAGGGAAGAAAAGAUGGUGGAAAAACCAUUAUGACGGUACUUAAUGAAUAAGCCCCGGCUAACUAUGUGCCAGCAGCCGCGGUAAUACAUAGGGGGCGAGCGUUAUCCGGAAUUAUUGGGCGUAAAGGGUGCGUAGGCGGUUUAAUAAGUUUAUGGUCUAAGUGCAAUGCUUAACAUUGUGAUGCUAUAAAAACUGUUUGACUAGAGUUGGAUAGAGGCAGGUGGAAUUCCAUGUGUAGCGGUAAAAUGCGUAAAUAUAUGGAGGAACACCAUGAGCGAAGGCGGCUUGCUGGGUCUUAACUGACGCUGAGGCACGAAAGCGUGGGGAGCAAACAGGAUUAGAUACCCUGGUAGUCCACGCCGUAAACGAUGAGUACUAGAUGUUGGGUUAAACCAGUGUCGAAGUUAACACAUUAAGUACUCCGCCUGAGUAGUACGUACGCAAGUAUGAAACUUAAAGGAAUUGACGGGACUCCGCACAAGCGGUGGAUCAUGUUGUUUAAUUCGAAGGUACCCGAAAAACCUCACCAGGUCUUGACAUGCUUCUGCAAAGUUGUAGAAAUACAGUGGAGGUUAUCAGUUGCACAGGUGGUGCAUGGUUGUCGUCAGCUCGUGUCGUGAGAUGUUGGGUUAAGUCCCGCAACGAGCGCAACCCUUGUUGUUAAUUGCCAUCAUUAAGUUGGGGACUUUAGCAAGACUGUCAGUGAUAAAUUGGAGGAAGGUGGGGACGACGUCAAAUCAUCAUGCCCCUUAUGACCUGGGCUACAAACGCGAUACAAUGGCUGUUACAAAGGGUAGCUGAAGCGCAAGCUUUUGGCAAAUCUCAAAAAAACAGUCUCAGUUCGGAUUGAAGUCUGCAACUCGACUUCAUGAAGUUGGAAUCGCUAGUAAUCGCGAAUCAGCAUGUCGCGGUGAAUACGUUCACGGGGUUUGUACACACCGCCCGUCA